rnacentral:rRNA from 1 species
GAUGAACGCUAGCGGCAGGCUUAAUACAUGCAAGUCGAGGGGCAGCAGGUCUGUAGCAAUACAGAUGCUGGCGACCGGCAAACGGGUGCGGAACACGUACAGAACCUUCCUUCGAGCGGGGAAUAGCCCAGAGAAAUUUGGAUUAAUACCCCAUAGUAUAGUGAAGAGGCAUCUCUUUACUCUUAAAGAUUUAUCACUUGAAGAUGGCUGUGCGGCUGAUUAGGUAGUUGGCGGGGUAACGGCCCACCAAGCCUACGAUCAGUAACUGGUGUGAGAGCACGACCAGUCACACGGGAACUGAGACACGGGCCCGACUCCUACGGGAGGCAGCAGUAAGGAAUAUUGGUCAAUGGACGAAAGUCUGAACCAGCCAUGCCGCGUGGAGGAUGAAGGUCCUCUGGAUUGUAAACUUCUUUUAUAUGGGACGAAAAAGGGCCUUUCUAGGUCAACUGACGGUACCAUGUGAAUAAGCACCGGCUAACUCCGUGCCAGCCGCCGCCGUAAUAC